ACAGUUUGGAGUUCGGGAGAUUGGUGAUUGCAGUAGCUGCUGGUCUAUGGGAAAGGGGAUUAUCGCCUUAACGUUUUUAACCCCUUUUGGGCAAAACGGUCUGUUACAAUUGGUGGCAAGCGACGGGAUCAUUUCCACAGCCCAAAUUUAGGGCAACGCCAGUACCCGUACAGCGACCCUAUCUACAAAAGAACCAACUUCAGCAGCGCAAGCAUGGCACCCAGCUACACUCAGGAGCAGUAUGACAGAGAGUUUACCAUGCGGCUGGCUUUCUUUGGACCCAACCCCCCGGAGAAAUACAUGCAGUUCGUAAGGAGCCAGGUAGACGAGUACCUGCAGUUCAUGGCAGAUCCAGCCAAAGGUAUCGGCCGCCCUAUCCGGUGGCAGAGUGCGUUACGGGGACUCAAAGGUGUACCCCAGGGAGCUGAAGGUGUCGUCCUUCCUCCCCAGCGGCAGAGUAAGUCCCAGG